UCUAUGAAGUUCGUGGCAUAGAACGAGGCCAGUCUAAGUCGCAGUCUGACCUUGGCCGAAUAACAGCGCAGUUCUCCACGAAGAAAGUGUCGGGAAAUAUAAUACUGUACUACUGAACGCUUCAGAACUUUGAGUGAAGAUAUUUUCAGUGUUCCUUGACGACCUACUGAAUAUGUGUGUCUUGUAACAUGCUCGACACAUUGAAAGACCUACAUACUUUACAGCCGACAUCAAAGUAAGAAUUCCUAAUCAUGACAGGCGAGAGCACAUAAUUAUUUACAAAUGAAGACUGCGAAUUUAAUAAACUCUUUGGUCUCACUGCCCCUGUUGUGAGCUGCAUGAAUCCACUACACAUCCUCAACAUACUAUUAUUUUAGAACCCACUUCAUUUUAUUAUUCUCUCAUCUACACGUAGGUCUCCAAAGUGACCCCUUACCUUCUUGUUUCCGACCAAAUUUGAUGCGAACUUCUUAUAUUGUUGUAUACUAG